CGAGACGACAGCGAGAUCCUCUCCAGGCCCUGCGGCGCCGCAAUCAGGAGCUGAAGCAACAGAGGACACCUGAAGCUGAAUAUGGAACAGAUUUUCUAUUCGGUGUCUGUAGGACAAGUAAUCAACAGCCCCUCUGAGUCAGGCCUGUGAUGACUGGCUCUAUCACUAGGUUGAUAGUUUGCUUUCUGAGAGCCAACUGAAAGAAGCUCUAGAACCCAAUAAAAGACAACAUAUUUAUCAAAGAUGUAUCCAGUUAAAGCAGGCAAUAGAUGAAAAUAAAAAUGCUCUUCAAAAAUUAAGCAAAGUGAGGAAAUUGAAGCUCUCAGUGGUGAAGCAUCCAUGCCUCUUCUGUCAAUAAGUGGCAGAACUUGGGAUUGGUGCCUGUCUCAUUGACUUUAAAGCCGAUCUUCUGUCAGAACAUAUCUCUUACUGACUAUGGAAGGUCUAUAAUACUUAGCAAGAAAAUAAAAGAGAAACCUAAAACAA
rnacentral:lncRNA from 10 species